rnacentral:tRNA from 1 species
GGCCCUGUAGCUCAGGGGUUGGAGCGCUGGUUUCAUAAAACAAGGGUCAUGAGUUCAAUUCUCACCAUGGUCC